UAUUUUGUAGAUAUGAAUUACCUAAAGAGUAAUAUUAUUCAUUUGAUUGCAUGUAGAUGCACAUUACAGGAUUUAAAGCAAUUGAAAAGAUUUGUUAGAAUAUGCUGUUAAAAUAAUUUCGUUUUACCCUCUUCUUCUUUGUUUCCUAUUACCCUCUGCUGUGGUGUAGGGUGGCAAAUGUGUAGGCAAUCUAUGUAGACGUAAAGUGUAGGCAAUCAAAUGCUUCUAUUUACAUCGGUCUUGGGCACUCUGUUCUACCUCUUCCCAGGUUAUGUCCCAGACGCCCAGUUUCUGCUCUACUGAGCGACGCCACGUUUUUGGGACGGCCUCUCUUUCUUUUGCCAGACACAUUCUAGGUCAGUGCUCACUUGGAUAGGGUUGGAGUAUUGGGAUUUCUCUGUGUGACCAAUUCAAUACCACUUCCCCAUAAGGAUCUCUAAGUUAGUGAUAGUCUCAGGCCAAAAGAUUUUUAAAACUUGAUGUAGGUAUUUAUUCACAAACACUUGUUCGAACAAACCAAGUUUUGCUCUUGUACAGUGACAAACACCCACAUUUUAGUUGACGAUCUUCACCUUUUGUUCAUCUCAUUAAGGUUGAGGAACUCUACACUGGACUAAGUUGACUAAACGCGACUCCGGCUUUAUUUAUAUGACUAUAGCUUCUACCAUACACUAUAUAACAUUCCAUUACAUAAUAUUAAAUGCCUGAGAACCAAUGGCUUCUAAUUUGCAAUUGGCAAAAUUUUAAGCUCAGUACAUUACAUUAUGUGAAAGAAGGAUUUACAUCGUACAAUAAUCGUUUUUUUUUGUGGGUAGGUGUGAAAAAAGUGUAGACAUGUUUUAAACAUAAAAUUUUAUUGAAAAUUAGAAACAUAAUCUUUUAUCAAUAUUUUUUAACAUCCAGUUUGUACACAAGUAUAUUUGAUUUGGUAAUAACAUUUGCAGCAGCUUAUGUGUCAUAAAUAAAGCUGCAAACCACCAGCCAGCACACCUUCAACCAUUUAAGUGACAUCUUGUUCCUCUCACUCAAGCCCAUCAUGUCUCAACUUGCUGAAAUAUUAACUAUUCAAAAGAACCUAGAAGAAAACUUCACACGGAAGAUGGGUGAACUUGAAACACAGAUUCAAUCUGCGGGA